rnacentral:rRNA from 1 species
UGGGGAAUAUUGCACAAUGGGGGAAACCCUGAUGCAGCGACGCCGCGUGAGCGAAGAAGGCUUUCGAGUCGUAAAGCUCUGUCCUAUGAGAAGAUAAUGACGGUAUCAUAGGAGGAAGCCCUGGCUAAAUACGUGCCAGCAGCCGCGGUAAUACGUAUGGGGCGAGCGUUGUCCGGAAUUAUUGGGCGUAAAGGGUACGUAGGCGGUUUUUUAAGUCAGGUGUCAAAGCGUGGAGCUUAACUCCAUUAAGCACUUGAAACUGAAAGACUUGAGUGAAGGAGAGGAAAGUGGAAUUCCUAGUGUAGCGGUGAUAUGCGUAGAUAUUAGGAGGAAUACCGGUGGCGAAGGCGACUUUCUGGACUUUUACUGACGCUCAGGUACGAAAGCGUGGGGAGCAAACAGG